GGAUGCCAAAAUUGUGGGUGGGAUUCCUAAAAUGUGUCUCACAAACACAACCACAUUCUUUUCCUGUACUACUACAGUUGCCACCAGCGCAGCUUGAGAGUGCUCUAAACAAAUAUGUUAAUCUCCGAAGUCCAUUGCUUACCUUUGUUAAUCAGCCAAAUAUUAAAACUUCACUCCCUAGAUCAACCUUGGUACAACUUG
rnacentral:misc_RNA from 1 species